CAGCCCCACGGUAAUACGGAGGGUGCAAGCGUUAAUCGGAAUUACUGGGCGUAAAGCGCACGCAGGCGGUCUGACAAGUCAGAUGUGAAAUCCCCGGGCUUAACCUGGGAACUGCAUUUGAAACUGUCAGGCUGGAGUCUUGUAGAGGGGGGUAGAAUUCCAGGUGUAGCGGUGAAAUGCGUAGAGAUCUGGAGGAAUACCGGUGGCGAAGGCGGCCCCCUGGACAAAGACUGACGCUCAGGUGCGAAAGCGUGGGGAGCAAACAGGAUUAGAUACCCCUGUAGUCCCUGUCUCUUAUACC
rnacentral:rRNA from 1 species